AUUGAACGCUGGCGGCAGGCCUAACACAUGCAAGUCGAACGAGUGGCGGACGGGUGAGUAACGUCUGGGAAACUGCCCGAUGGAGGGGGAUAACUACUGGAAACGGUAGCUAAUACCGCCUACCAUCGGAUGUGCCCAGAUGGGAUUAGCUAGUAGGUGGGGUAACGGCUCACCUAGGCGACGUUCCCUAGCUGGUCUGAGAGGAUGACCAGCCACACUGGAACUGAGACACGGUCCAGACUCCAACGGGAGGCAGCAGUGGGGAAUAUUGCAAAAUGGGCGCAGGCCGGAUGCAGCCAUGCCGCGUGUAUGAAGAAGGCCUUCGGGUUGUAAAGUACUUUCAGCGAGGAGGCGUUACUCGCAGAAGAAGCACCGGCUAACUCCGUGCCAGCCGCCGCGGUAAUAC
rnacentral:rRNA from 1 species